rnacentral:rRNA from 1 species
UGGGGAAUUUUGGACAAUGGGCGAAAGCCUGAUCCAGUAAUGCCGCGUGUGUGAAGAAGGCCUUCGGGUUGUAAAGCACUUUUGUCCGGAAAGAAAUCCUUGGCUCUAAUACAGUCGGGGGAUGACGGUACCGGAAGAAUAAGCACCGGCUAACUACGUGCCAGCAGCCGCGGUAAUACGUAGGGUGCAAGCGUUAAUCGGAAUUACUGGGCGUAAAGCGUGCGCAGGCGGUUUGCUAAGACCGAUGUGAAAUCCCCGGGCUCAACCUGGGAACUGCAUUGGUGACUGGCAGGCUAGAGUAUGGCAGAGGGGGGUAGAAUUCCACGUGUAGCAGUGAAAUGCGUAGAGAUGUGGAGGAAUACCGAUGGCGAAGGCAGCCCCCUGGGCCAAUCACUGACGCUCAUGCACGAAAGCGUGGGGGAGCAAAACAGGAUUAGAUACCCCUGGUAGUCCACGCCCUAAAACGAUGUCAACUAGUUGUUGGGGAUUCAUUUCCUUAGUAACGUAGCUAACGCGUGAAGUUGACCGCCUGGGGGAGUACGGUCGCAAGAUUAAAAACUCAAAUGAAUUGACGGGGUCAUAGCUGUUUCCU